rfam:Bombyx mori DNA, contig: Bm_scaf5_contig4420, strain: p50T/Dazao, build 2, whole genome shotgun sequence.
UUAACUCAAAUUUGUAUGGUGUUGGAAUGUUUGCCUGCGUUUGCCGCUAGGGGCACUGUUCCAACUACAUACAAAUUUGAGUUA